CUCUACUAAUAUGGCAUACCCUGAAACUAAUUUAAUUGUAGUACUUCUAGCCCCCUUUUUAACAUGUUAUCUAAGCAAGAAAACUUUGCGUAAAAGAAACUAAACAGAAAGAAACAGAUAUGUUAUUAACUGGCUCGUACAAUUGCAACCAUGCGGGAUAAGAUAGAAGAAGGCAGGCCCAAUGCAAUGGAGGCCUGCAAAUCGACUUCAUGUAGUAUCUUGACCCAAGGCCCAAAGAAGGGUCUAAAUUUAGCAGUAAAUCCUGAAGAAGAAAAAAGACUCGAGUUCGAGUCCCCAGGUCAUGUAAGGAGAAUACCAAAUUAGAAAUGUGAUCCUAGCAAGGCCUUUGAUAACUAACUAUCCUUUGACAAUUGCGCUUCAGUUAAUUCUACAUGGGCAAUUAUGUCAAAUUUCCAGUACAAUUUGAGCCUAUUUUCAUGCGUAAUGUCAAAUAAAAUCUUAUGGGUCUAUCUAAUAGAUACAAGUCCUAACAUUAAAUGAAAACUAACAUGUUUUUGCAACAUAAAUAAAUCAAUGCACAGCCUGCCUUUUAAGGUAACUUGGAUCAUUUUCCCUUUCUUCUAGCACGACUUAUAUUGGUUACUACUUAAAAAGAAUUCAGUCCCUCAUUACAUGAAUGUGGAAAAAUUGAUCUACAAGGGAAUAUGCUGUAACAAUCAGAUACACUGCUUAGCAAGAGGAUACAUACACAAUCACACCAUUUAGCAUGAUCUAACUACAUAUGCAACCAAAUAAGCUAUGUACCAAUUUUUUUCAGAAUACUUUCAAAUAUUCAAUCUCGAACUACAGGAUACUUUCUAGAAGACUGAUCUCCCAUCAGAUAAUAUGCACUACAUCUUUCAGGUGAUAUUGACAUAAUCCAACAGAAUAUAAUGCAUCAUGCAAAAUCAGCAAAUAAAAAAUAAAUAAAACUAAGCUACUGAACAGAGCAAAUUGAAGUUGUGUUUGAACUCCCAAUUUUAUUUCAUACUUCAAACAAUCUUCACAUGAUAUAGGAUUCAAGAGCAAGUACCUGAUUAUAGCAAAAUAAACCAGAGAAACCAAAGUUGGAGUCAGUAAACAGCAACAGAAAAAUCAGCCUCCAAGAAUGACUAACAACAGGGAAAUCCACUUCUUCCCGCCAAGGAAAAACCCAGAUGAACAACAUACAAUAGCAAUCUGACUAGCUAAGAAUUUUUUAAAACAAAAUUGGACCAGCCUUGUCCAAAAAUGCAAGAAAUGCAUUAUUCUCUCGGAAUUCCUUAGGCUCAGCCAUUUUCCUUCAAAAUUUUCAUAGUGUUUUUUUCUUCUCUCUCAAUGAAUGGAAAGAAAACUUAUAUAGGCAUGCCAAGGGCGGCCCUAAUACAUCUAGCCAAUUCCCCAUUUACCCUUCCCUUUACAAAAAUAUCUGACACUUUCAACUCUUAUCAUAUUCUUUAGAACCUUCUAUCCUAAAAGAAUUUGAUUCCCCCCCCCCCUAUUGCGCGCACGCGCGCGCGCACACACAAGCACACACACACACGGUGACCUUACACUAACUGGUUAUUACAAUCUUUGCCCCUCCCCCCUAAGACCCCUCUAAGUUUCUAUACUUAGCAUUAACCCUCAUAUGGAUCCCUGAAGACUGACAAACAAAACCACUCAAACAAAAGGCUCUUAAUCAGGUCAAAACAAACUUUCAAAACUUAGAAACUUUGACAAUUUAAAAGUUGGAAAACAAACUUGCCAUGAACCAAUUAUAAUGUUAACUACAAAGAAUUAUUUAAACCAACUAAGAUAUGCUCAAGCAUCUUAACAGAAGAAAAAUCCGCAAAACCUAUUUCAAUUAAACUAAUAUGAUUUUAAAAAACUUUAAAAACCUAAUUUAACUGAAAUAAAUGUCUAAAGUCUCAAUAACCAGUGAUUUAAUAAUGCUAAAUUUCGAGGAUGGAAACAAUCAACAGAAGAGUAAGACAAAAAGGAACUAUAUUACACUAGGUCGAGUUUUGCAGAGCAGAAGUAAACUUAAACAUGGAAGAGGAAAAGAAAAGGAAUACAAAUCUCAGAACCAUAAAGGCACAAAGAUAUACCUGAGAACAGUCUUAAAGGGAAAAUCUCACUGAAUUGAAGCCAAUGGCCGGGAUCAUCUCGAAGUGACCGAAAAUUAAGAAUAACUAGUUGUUCUUUGACAAGAACAAUUAAUUAGCCUUUAUUUCUGGCUGAUUCAAAGCUUGAAAACCCCUCAAAAACUUAUUUUUGGUCAGUGACUUGGGGUCAAUAGCAAGGUUUUUAUUUUGAAUUGAACCAUGAAAUCGGAACGAAGGAAGGCCAAAGACAAUGGAUUGAGUUUUGAGUGAUUUGGGGAAGUUAGGAUUUGGAUCUGAUUUUUCGAUCCAAAAUUCGUACCAAACUAGGAGGAUUCGAGGGACAUGGGUUAGGGAUUUGGAAAGAGCAAUCCAUGGGGUUUUCGGGGUGUACUUUUGGUGGUGUUUGGAGGUGGCGCCGCAACCCUAAAGCGGUGGGAGAGUGGUGGCAACUACUAGGGUUUUUUCUUGCUUCAAGAGGGGGGUGGUUCUGAGAGAGAUGAUGAGAGAAGGGGGUGGGCUGGAUUCAGAUUUCUCGACCAUCCGAUCUAAGAAUAUCGAUGGCCCUAAUAAAAACUAACCUAAACGGGGUCAUUUGAGUUGAGUGUAG
rnacentral:lncRNA from 1 species